CAGCAGCCACGGGAACACCAGCAGCCCAAGUGGUGGUCGCGUUUAUUGGGCCUAAAGCGCUCGUAGCCUGACCGGUAAGUUCCCCGUGAAAUCGGGUCGCCCAACGAUUCGGCUUGCGGGGAAUACUGUCGGUCUUGGGGCCGGGAGACGCCGAGGGUACUCCGGGGGUAGCGGUGAAAUGCUGUAAUCCUCGGGGGACUACCAGUGGCGAAGGCGCUCGGCGAUAACGGGCCUGACGGUGAGGGGCGAAAGCUGGGGGCGCGAACGGGAUUAGAUACCCCCGUAGUCCCUGUCUCUUAUU
rnacentral:rRNA from 1 species